rnacentral:rRNA from 1 species
CCUACGUUAGGCAGCAGUAGGGCAUCUUCGGCAAUGGGCGCAACCCUGACCGAGCCACGCCGCGUGAGUGAAGAAGGCUUUCGGAUCGUACAGCUCUGUUGUACGAGAAGCACGUGUGUGAGAGUGUAAAGUUCACACAGUGACGGUCACUUACCAGAAAGGGACGGCUAACUCCGUGCCGGCAGCCGCGGUAAUACGUAGGUCCCGAUCGUUAUCGGGAUUUAUUGGGCGUAAGGCGAGCGCAGGGGGUUGAAUAAGUCUGAAGUAAAAGUCUGUGGCUUAACCAUGGUAUGCUUUGGAAACUGGUCAACUUGAGUGCAGAAGGGGAGGGUGGAAUUCCAGGUGUAGCGGUGGAAUGCGUAGAUAUAUGGAGGAACACCGGUGGCGAAAGCGGCUCUCUGGUCUGUGACUGACGCUGAGGCUCGAAAGCGUGGGGAGCGAACAGGAUUAGAUACCCGAGUAGUC